rnacentral:lncRNA from 1 species
AGGUGGUAAAUCCUGGCCAAGGCUCCUCGAGCCAGGCCGGCUGGCAGUGCUGCAUCGUGCUGAAGGCGCUGAGGUUGCAGCGGAUGCAUUCCGGGCCAGUGAUAUGAUGUGGACAGGAAAAGUCUUUUGUUCUGGGAAAAUGGAGGACUGAAACCUCUUCAUGUCUUUUUCCCAGGCCCUGAUUUAGGAAGACCAAAACAGGGACUUCUACAGUAGCAGCUUAAUCAGCAGAUGCUGGGUGGUCGCCUCUGCACAUGGCCUGGGGGGCGGGGCGCCUUACCGCGUCACACUGGGUGGAUGGGCCUGUGUGUGGCCUCUCUCCAGCUGUGGCUGACAGUACUCACUCAGCCCAGGCUUCCAGGCCCUCCUGGGCCCUCCUAUCCACUGAAGGAAAUGGGAGAUGAGUGGGUAAUGGAAAAGCCUUUGGAGUCAGAUGUAAAUCCAUGACUUGACCACUUAUUGCUGUGAGACCCUGGACAGCUGGAUAUAGAGUUCUUGUUCUAGCAUCCGCCCUGGGAAUCCCCGGAACUGGGCCUCUUACCGACACCAUUGCCUGUAAUCCACAAACCUAGGAGUUACUCCAGUUACUGUCCUACUGAAGGACCCCCAUCCCAUCUGGGCUACUAUAACCACAUGGACCAUCCCUUGCUUCAAUCAUAGAAUUCUUUCUUCAGAUCAAAGUAUAUUCAGACACUCGAUACAGUAACAAAAGCAAGCUAUCCUGGAAGGAAGAAGGAAUCAGGAGGCAGAGCACAUGGUUAAAGCAUGAGAUGUGAAACCAGGAAGAACCAGGUCUGAACCUUAGCUCCACCAGUGGUAGCUUCAAACCUUGGUCCUUUCUGAGCCUGCUUCUUCAACCGUAAGGAACUCGGAAACGGGACCCAGAAAGUUGUUUUCUCAAGUGGAUGGAACAACACAAGCAAUCAGUAUCCUGAAACAGGCCCUGUUCCAACAAACUGACCCAGAAAGAGGUUAUACCAAUUAUCUCUCCAGCAAGUAUGAGGACUCCUGUUUCCCUACGUACUCACUACUACAGCAAAGAUAUCAAACAUUGAUACCCACCAAUCUCUGGAUGGAAAAACAAAUCUCAGGGGCCUCACUAUUUUACCCUGGCUGGUUUCGAACUUCUGGGCUCCAGCUACCCCCAAGCCUC